CCUGAGUAAACUAGGAGUGUGGGGACCUUGUGGGAUGGUUGAUGGAGAAGGGAGAAGCAGGGAGGGGAGCAGAGAAAAAUGUAGAGCUCAAAAAAAUCAGUAAAAAAACAGGUAUCUCAAAAAAAGAAUGUAGUUUUUUAAUAAAGCAGAUUACAUUGGCUUAUAAAUAAUAUAGUCUUAUUAGUUUCUUCAUUAUGAAAAUGUAUGUACAUCUAUAAAUAUGUAUGUAUAUGACUGUAAUCAUACACAUGCAUGUUUAUAGACACUCAAAACACACAAACUGUACACACAUAAAUAUGUAUAUAAUUGAUUAUGUAUAUAAUUUCUUUUUUGGUAUAACAUGGCCAACAGUUGAAGGCCCAUAAUUCAAGAAUUAUGCUGUAUAAAAUCCUCAAGAGACCUCUAAAAUUCAUAAUACCAACAGGGCAUCAAAAUGCAGGGCUUUCCUUGGAUCUUCUAACAUCUUCACAUUCAUUAUUUAGAUUAGUUCCAUAAUAUCUUUGAACUAUUUCUUCUACCUGAAUAUUUGUUGAGAAGUUCAUGUACCUUCACAAAUGUGCGUGCAUUCACUUGGAAGACAGAUGUCAAUGUUGCUGCUGUUAUUAACGUCUCAACAUUUUUUUUUAAUUCCCCAAGGGAUUAACACAGAGUACCUCCGUUCCUGGAGGUACUGCAAUACCAGGUCGAUGAGUGGAGUGGACAGAGUAAAUUUCUACUUCCAAAAAUCCAUUUAAUAUGUUGUCCUCAGAUAGAGGACGUAUCAUAUAUUAAAUUGAUAAGAACAGAUAUUACACUUGAUCUUAGUCAAAAGGUGAGAAGCGACCAACAUUUUAUUUUUUGAGACAGACACUUUCACUGAACUUGGAGUUUUGCAAGCGAACUCCAGAGAUCUAUGUCCCUCUGCCUGCCAUCACUUGGCUACCAUACACAGCUUUUUAUGUGGCUACCCAUACACAGGCAUGCUACCACACACAACUUUUUAUGUGGGUCCUGGGAACACAAGCUCAUAUCAUCAUGCUUGCAUGUCAAGAAUCAUUUCCAAGUCCUGUUCUUCCUAAAAAUGCAGGUAAAGACUACAUACUUUUAAUUAUAAUAGAACAAAAGCCAGUGAAAAUUAUUCUGCAAGUGGGGUGAUGAGAUAGCAAGGACUCCACUGAGAGUUCAUUGCCUUUGCAAAUCCUAAUAUAGACAUAGACGUAAGAGAGGUAGUGAAAAUGCAAUUAAGAGAACUGUAGGAAUUACACAAAGUUUCAUAAACCUAUGUAAGAUAGUUCUAACAACAUGUGCAUAUAGAUUAAGAACAAAUGUUCAGGGAUUAUUUCAUAAGCACUUGUAGGAAAGACAAUAUUAAAAUAAUCAUUUACAGUUUUUAGAUCUAUAGGAAAGUUGGGAAGACUGAAUAGUUCUUACUCAUCCCACAUAUUAUCUCUGAUGUUCUUAAUAUUGUGCUAUGGACUGGAUAUAAGAUAUCCAGGCGUUCACACACUGAAUGCUUGGUCCACAGGGCAGCAAUGGGAAGAGCUAACUGAAUUCUGAAAGCUCUUAUCAUCAAUCCAAGGAUUAGCUCAUACUUUACAAUCAGUUUAUGGAUGGUCUUGGUUGGAGGAAGUGAGUCACUGAGGUGGUACUUGAAAGGGUAGAUCUCUCCAAACCCAAGCCCAUUUCUCUUUCUACCCCUUUCUCCUCCCUUUCUAUGUCACAAGACAGGCAGUUCUGUUUUCCACAAACUCCCCUGCUGAGAAGUUCUGCCUCAUCAUCACAUGGGAGGAGCAGUGGGGCCAGAGGACCAUGGGUCUGAACCGAUGAGUCAAGCAAACUACAUCUUUCCUUGUUUAGGUGCUGUCCUCAGGUGUUUUGUCACGGGGAUGAGAAGCUGAUUAGCACACAUGAGUAAGAUGGCAGCAUUUGUUGUAGUUGAGUCAGUAUUGAAUCACUGUUGAAUAGCUUAAGUCACCAGUUUAUUCAGAGAUCCUGAAUUGUUUUAUUUUGGUUUGCUUUUAAUUUAAAGGCUGGCCCCUUGUGUUGUAAUGCUAGCCUAGAUGCCGCAAUCUUCAUCUAUUGGAAUGUGUGUGUGUGUGUAUGUGUGCGUGUGUGUGUGUGUGUGUGCAUGCUUGCAUAUCUACUUCUCAAGAUUGCCUUACAUCUUGUCCUCACCCUGGGCUCCUUGGCUGAAACAACAUCUUAUAAUUUCUCAUGGUUGAUGACUUUUUCACUGUGUUGAGAAAGAGAAGUUAAAGGUUUAAGAGAGCAGGGAAGCUAGCAAGAACAAGAAAUGGAAUGAGAGCAUAAAUAUUUAGGCAAAAACAAGCAAAAGAAAAAGCAACCAAACAACAAAAGCUAGUCCCCCUCAGCAGAGCAAUCCUUAACUUGUACUGAUGAACAGCAUGUGCAUGCCAAGGGAAGCCCCUGCUUCUUCGAGUCAGGGCUGGGAAGUCCCUGCCCCCCCUCAUUUUCUUUUUCACCAUUUGUGUUUAUUUUCAAAUGCAAAUAACAAGAUAUGCUUUACGUUAAGAGACAAAAGCAAUAAUAAAAUGUCUGGCCUUUCUACAAAAAUAUAAUCCCAAGGAUAUUUUGCUAAAUUUUAUAUUUUAGUUCCACUGUGUAACUGGCAUCGUGAGAACAAAGUGAAGCUGUGAAAUAGUUUUGCUAGUUUCUAAUUUUCCAUACAUGGUGCAUGAUUCAUUCCCAGGAUGUGAUGAAAAGAAUCGUUGGCCAGGUUUGUCUUUUGAUAUAACCUUUCCAGGAAGAACAAAAUGUAAGGGAAGGAUCAAGGAACUGUUAUUAUAAUUAGUUCUACACAGGAAAGAGACAAAUAACACCUUUCUUAGUAAGCUUUAUGUAAAAGUCAUCCUGACAGAAGACAAAGGACAUGGAUGCUUCAUGGUCAGUGUCAUAGAAGUGAUAGAAGCAGAAUCAUUUGUGUAAGCAUUGGAGGGUAGCAGAAUAUAUUAUUACAAAAUGUGCUGUAAGGGUUCUUUCGAGCUGAUGUAAAUGAAAAGAAGCUAAGGAAAAGUCCGGUUUCCCCCCUUAAGUACGUAAGAGCAGCAUAUGAAUUCCUAUAGUCCUCUGUUCUGCCAGUAAGGACUGUUACCAAAAGAAGGCUUUAGACCAUUUAGAUGCUUAGCUGGGAGACAGCGCCAGAGGAUCCCACUUAACAAAGCUUCUGGAGGAGUCCUCAUCAACUCUGUAUAAUACUGUGUAUUUGCGUUUGCUGUUUCCAGCUCCCAGAGACUUAAAGUUCUUUCUUUCUCCUUUGUCAUUGCUCUAAAAGCACUCCUUGCCAAUGCCACAUAAGAAAAAGGUCUAAAUUAGCUCUUUGAGAGUUACUCUUUGCCUGAGAAAUAUGCAUAUUAAUGAACUUAUGUUUGUUCUUUUUAAUGUUUGUGGAUCAAGGACCUGGAUAAGCCACUCCUAAUGUGCAGAGUGUUUAUAGGGAACAGAUCGGUUUAAUUGUGCCGGGAUCCUGAGAGAGAAGAAAAAGAGAGAGGAGACCUAUUAAAAUGGAGAGAAACACAGGGCAACAGAGAAGGGAGUCUGGAGCAGACAGACAGCUGCCUGAAAGCAGAUCUCAUUAGAAUCUUCAUAACAUCCGUCUUAGACAUGCUUUCUGAGCUUCUCAUUUCCUGCCAAAGUACACGCACAAUUCUGGAGAGUCAGAAGAGGUGGGCAGAAGCUUCAAAUCACCAUUGACUUUAUCAAGGAUGAUAUAUGCUAGCAAGAAAAAAGGAAAUGAAAUACAGAUGCUGGAAGUGAAUGGAUGAAGAUUUACCUAGAGUUACAUAAGAAGAGAAGUGGGCAGGGACAUGAAGGGAUGAAGAUGCAUCCUGCAAGAAGAGGGGAAAGAUUGUUCUAGCAGAAGUAAAGCAUACUAAGACAUUGGAGAGAGAACAUCUUUAUAUUGAACUUUAACUGAAGUAGAUGAGUCUGAUAAAACUGAGAAGGGUUAUGUAAUUUGCAUUGAAUUUUGUCAUACACAUUCAUUUUCUGUGUGGUAAACAGAUGAACAAAUAGCCCAUGUACAUCUGAAGAUCAGCAUCUGCCCUCCUUUGGUAGCCGAGCUUCAGUGACAAAGUAGUUUGGUCUUGAUGGGGAUCUGGACACAAGGAAAAAAUAACAAGCUUCAAGAUGUUUGUUAAAAAUGGAGCCUGUGAUUUUUCCGACUGAGUUAACACUGUGUCUGACAGACAUAGAAAAACAAAAAUGGAGGAAAACUAGAACGAGGAAAAUUUUACCAUUAAUUUCUUCUGCAAGUAUGUUACAGUCGUGUAACUUGGUCUUCUUGUGGGACACCUAACAGUAGGAGUAGGGGCUGUCUCUGACUCUUUUACUGGUUUUUAGUACCCUACACCUCAUCCUAGGUCACCUUGCCCAGACUUAAUACUUGCAGAGGGACUUAGUCUUACUAUGUAGUGAUAUUUCAUUUGUAUUUUAAUAAAUAAAGCUUGCCUAAAUAUCAGAGAGUAAAACAACCCCACUGGUUAGCCUUACAGACCGGGCAGUGAUAGCACACACCUUUACUCCCAGUAGCCACACUAGUUUGCUAUAGACACUGGGCAAUGCAUGUUUUUAAUCCUAGUGGUGCACGCCUUUAAUCUCAGCCCUAGAGAGAAAUGUAACAAGGGAGGAGACAGCUCACAGACACAGUCACAUUCUGAAAUUCCUGGAGGCAGGAUCACCAUUUCAGACUGACGUAGAGUUAAGAGCCAGUAACUGGUUGUUUUGCUUUUUGGACCUUCAGGUUGAAAUCCAAUUUCUGUCUCUGGGUCUUUAUUAAUCAUGCUACAUUACUACAACUUGAUAUGACAUAUUUGUUGAUAUCCAUGGGAGGCCUGACAUUUCCUGAACAGAAGUGGAGAAGAAGUGGUUGGAGAGGAUGGGAAUAGAGGGGAUGAGGAGAGGGCCUGGGUACAGAGCAGGAGGGAAACUGAGGCCAGGAUGUAAAUGAAAUAAAUUUAUAUAAGAAAAUCCUUUUAUUCCUAGUAUUAAACAACCCAAACUGCUCUCUCAUGUCACAAUAAUAAACAAACAGGAAAUAAAGCAAAAACAAUAUGUUCAUGUUUUAUUGCUAUAUAUUUGUACAUAUUUAUAAUUUUAUAAAACACUGUAAAAU